AAUCAACGCUGGCGGCGUGCCUCAGACAUGCAAGUCGAACGAUUAAAGCUCUCUUCGGAGAGUGUAUAGAGUGGCGCACGGGUGAGUAACACGUAAGUAAUCUACCCUCGAGUGGGAAGUAACGUCCGGAACGGACGCUAAUACCGCAUAAUGCAGCGGCACCGCAAGGUGACAGUUGUUAAAGGAGAAUUCGCUUGAGGAGGAGCUUGCGGCAGAUUAGCUUGUUGGUAAGGUAACGGCUUACCAAGGCUACGAUCUGUAACCGGUCUUAGAGGACGGUCGGUCACACUGACACUGAAUAACGGGUCAGACUCCUACGGGAGGCAGC
rnacentral:rRNA from 1 species